UUAGAUGUUCUGGGCCGCACGCGCGCUACACUGAUACGUUCAUCGAGCUUAUAACCUUGGCCGGAAGGUCCGGGUAAUCUUUUGAAACCGUAUCGUGAUGGGGAUAGAUUAUUGCUAAUUAUUAAUCUUCAACGAGGAAUUCCUAGU
rnacentral:rRNA from 1 species